GCACAUUUGGUGGAAUUGGUAGACACAACAGACUUAAAAUCUGUUACCUUAAAAGGUAUGUUGGUUCAAGUCCAAUAAUGUGUA
rnacentral:tRNA from 1 species